CAAGUCGAGCGGAAACGAUGGGAGCUUGCUCCCAGGCGUCGAGCGGCGGACGGUGAGUAACGCGUAGGAAUCUACCCAGUAGGAGGGGAUACGACCCGGGGAAACUCGGAUUAAUACCGCAUACGCCUAGGGGAAAGCCGGGAUCUUCGGACCGGUCGCUAUUGGAUGAGCCUGCGUAAGAUUAGCUAGUUGGUAGGUAAAGGCCUACCAAGGCGACGAUCUUUAGCUGGUCUGAGAGGAUGAUCAGCCACACUGGAACUGAGACACGGUCCAGACUCC
rnacentral:rRNA from 1 species